GAUGAACGCUAGCGGCAGGCUUAAUACAUGCAAGUCGAGGGGCAGCAUGGGUAGCAAUACCUGAUGGCGACCGGCAAACGGGUGCGGAACACGUACGCAACUUUCCCAGAACUGGUGAAUAGCCCUCCGAAAGGAGGAUUAAUACACCGUAAGAUAGAGAUGUGGCAUCACAUUUUUAUUAUAGCUCCGGCGGUUUUGGAUGGGCGUGCGCCUGAUUAGGUAGUUGGCGGGGUAACGGCCCACCAAGCCUACGAUCAGUGACUGGUGGGAGGACACGACCAGUCACACGGGAAACGGGACACAGGCUCGACUCCUACGGGAGGGAGCAGUAAGGAAUAUUGGUCAAUGGACGCAAGUCUGAACCAGCCAUGCCGCGGGAAGGAUGAAUGCCCUCUGGGUUGUAAACUUCUUUUAUCUGGGACGAAAAAGGGGCAUUCUUGCUCAACUGACGGUACCAGAGGAAUAAGCACCGGCUAACUCCGUGCCAGCAGCCGCCGUAACAC
rnacentral:rRNA from 1 species